rnacentral:lncRNA from 1 species
UUAUAUAAAUUCCUCCCCGGGUGCUGUAGACACAUGGAUGGCUUUGCAUAUCUGGAGGACUCAUUGGGCGAUGACAUAUUUCCUCUUUGCGUUGACUCAUGAGCUGCUCCUCCUGGUUGCUAUGAAAGUUGGAAGCACUUUACCGGUGCCUGCUGCAAGUAUGUUUCAUGAAAAGAGAGAAAGUCUCAAUAUUCUUCCUGGAUUUGCUGGUUUGACCCUUUCACUUUUGCAAUCGCUGUGAAGCAGGCAGGUAAAUGUAUUGAUGUGAGUACGCAGCACAGUUUACAGUGGGGAAGCUGUAAGAGAAAUCAGAUAGUCUGGACAAUAUACAAUUUUCUUUCACAACAAAGCACCCACAGUAAAGAGUGAAGUUAAGGUGAGUCUGCCUCUCUUUAUUACCUUUUUUUAAAUAGUAUAAAAGCCUGUGUUUAAAGCUCUGUGGGUCUGAUUUUCAGAGCUGCUGAGCACCCUGCUCUCUGCUUUCUUUUAACUGGAGAUGUAGGUGUUCAGCAUUUCUGGCAGCCAGGGCCCCUCUGCUAAUGCCUGCAGAGAGUAGCUGGGGAAAGUGUGAGAAACAUUAUUGUAAUGAGGGGCUAAUUCUGCUUCUCCUUCCUGCCUGGCAGUGCAGAUGAAAGAGUGCCUGGGAGUCGUGUUAUGUGCACGGACAAAGGGAAUUCUGAUUUCCCGGUUCUGGCUCCCCAGGGGCAGGGAUGCUCUCCCAGCACAACUCACUGCAAGUCACAUCUGCAUUUCCAGUAUAAGGCCCAUUUUUAAGGACUCCUAGUUUGGCUAUAAAAAUUCACUUAGCAUGCACGAAUAGAAACCAAAUUGACAAGAUAGACCAUAACUGCUCUGAAAGGGCCAUUAGUUCCUGUCGUAUGAAAAAUCCACAUUUUAAAAAAAGCGAGUAUUGUUCACAUUUGCACAACAGGCUGUAACUGUUCCUUCUAAGUCAUUAUAGCCUGUACGGAAAUAAUAAUUUUCAAAAUCACUAUUGAUACCACAGGCAUAGAAACAGCAGGAGGCAGAUGCCUGUGCUUGAUAUUAAUCCAGAGCCUUCCAGUGCCUCUGAGUAUGUUCGGAUCAGUACAAACUCUAGAUUUACACCGAUGUAACCGGGAAGAGGAAGACCACAGUAUAGAGAUUUGGUCUGAUGACUGAGAGUUUGUGCAAGGUUUCUGGUGUCCUCAGAGGAAUCCGAGCAGUGCAGUGGCUGUGAGAGGGUACCAAUAAGUUGUCCG